rnacentral:rRNA from 1 species
UGCAAGUCGAACGAAGUAGCAAUACUUAGUGGCAGACGGGUGAGUAACAUGUGGGUAUCUGCCCUUUGGCCUGGAAUAACACGAGGAAACUUGUGCUAAUACCGGAUAAGUCUUUACGGAGAAAGCUUUAUGCACCAUUGGAUGAGCCCGCACUUGAUCAGUUUGUUGGUAAGGUAAUGGCUUACCAAGACUGAGAUCAAUAGCUGAUUUGAGAGGAUGAUCAGCCACAUUGGGACUGAGACACGGCCCAAACUCCUACGGGAGGCAGCAGUGGGGAAUCUUGCACAAUGGAGGAAACUCUGAUGCAGCGAUGCCGCGUGAGUGAAGAAGGCCCUUGGGUUGUAAAGCUCUUUCGUCGGGGAAGAAAAUGACUGUACCCGAAUAAGAAGGUCCGGCUAACUUCGUGCCAGCAGCCGCGGUAAUACGAAGGGACCUAGCGUAGUUCGGAAUUACUGGGCUUAAAGAGUUCGUAGGUGGUUGAAAAAGUUGGUGGUGAAAUCCCAGAGCUUAACUCUGGAACUGCCAUCAAAACUUUUCAGCUAGAGUUUGAUAGAGGAAAGCAGAAUUUCUAGUGUAGAGGUGAAAUUCGUAGAUAUUAGAAAGAAUACCAAUUGCGAAGGCAGCUUUCUGGAUCAUUACUGACACUGAGGAACGAAAGCAUGGGUAGCGAAGAGGAUUAGAUACCCUCGUAGUCCAUGCCGUAAACGAUGUGUGUUAGACGUUGGAAAUUUAUUUUCAGUGUCGCAGCGAAAGCGAUAAACACACCGCCUGGGGAGUACGACCGCAAGGUUAAAACUCAAAUGAAUUGACGGGGACCCG